UCAUUUCCUGGCAGUUGAAGGAGAAUGUCACCGUCUUCAGCCCAGGUUUUCAAUUUAUGUUCCUUGUAGUUCUAAAGUCAGACUGAGCUGAAAAUAAAGCAUCUGGAGGCCUUUUUAAAGAGUUUUAUUUGAGUGGUUCUUACAAAGAUUGUUGCAAUAUGAAAGUCGUUUGUUUGAUAGAAAUAUCAAGCUGUCUUGUCAAACACACUGAAGUAACCCAAAAAUAUAUUUCAGAGCUCACAGAGCUUAAAAAGAGCAAAGAUUAUAUAUGCAACCAGACAAAACACAUUUCUGCAUUUUCUACUUAUUUAGGCUUUGCUGAGUAUCAUUAAACUGUGCACACUACCUAUAUUCAACUUUUCUCUGGAAAUGCAGAGUGUGUUUUGUUUGGAACCCUAGACAUACCUCACAUAGUAUUUACAAAGAAACUUACAGAUACAUCAAUCAAAAAUGGCCAUCAAGAAAUAAAACGCUUGAAUCCUCCCAUUCUUAACUACUGCUCAUCAUAAAGCAAGCUGUGUAGUUGACCAAAAUCAGCUCCUCCAGUAGCCUUUUGAAUUCUCCAUUUAUACAAAACACUAAAUAUGUCCCUUCAUAAAUUCUAUCAGAUAUUAACCUUUAACAGACCACCUACAUUUAGUGAGAUGUAAAAUGUAAUUACUGUAUUAAAAGAAAGGCUUGUGAAACAUUAAAAAUAUUAUGUUCCAUCUGCCUUUUACAGAAAAUUUGUUUCUAUCAGCUACUUCUCAGGUCCUACAGAACACCUCAGUAAAUGUACAAGAAUUACAAGGCAGAACAAGAAGUCAAACAGCUUUGUACACAGUGGGAAU